UUCAGAAUAUCUUGCAAAACUUCUAUCCAAGCAUUUGGAGUCAGUAAUUAAAGCCCGCAUUCCAGGCAUCAUAUCUUUAGUGAACAGAAGCAUUGAUGAACUUGAAGAGGAGUUGAACCAUUUAGGUAGACCUGUCACUGUUGAUGCUGGGGCCCAGUUAUACACUAUCCUGGAGUUAUGUCGUGCGUUUGACCGGGUAUUCAAAGAGCAUUUGGAUGGAGGGCGACCUGGUGGGGAUCGAAUUUAUGGAGUUUUUGACAACCAGCUCCCAUCUGCUUUAAGGAAACUUCCAUUGGACCGUCAUUUGUCUCUGCAAAAUAUAAGGAAAUUAGUUUCGGAGGCAGAUGGAUACCAACCUCAUUUAAUUGCACCAGAGCAUGGUUAUCGACGGCUCAUUGAUGGUGCAAUUAAUUACUUCAGAGGGCCAGCUGAAGCUUCUGUAGAUGCUGUUCACUUUAUUUUGAAAGAACUUGUAAGGAGGGCAAUUGGUGAAACUCAGGAGUUGAAGCGAUUUCCAACUCUUCAAGCUGAAAUAGCAUCUGCUGCCAAUGAUGCACUGGAGAGAUUCCGUGAAGAUAGUAAGAAGACAACUCUAAGGUUGGUGGAUAUGGAAUCCUCAUACCUGACAGUAGAUUUCUUCAGGAAACUGCCCAUGGAGGUGGAGAAGGGUGGAAAUCCAACUGCCACCAAUGCAGAUCGAUACACAGAGAGCCACUUUCGCAGAAUAGGAUCGAAUGUGUCCUCUUAUGUUUUGAUGGUGUCUGAGACCCUCAGGACCUCCAUUCCCAAGGCUGUGGUUUAUUGUCAAGUGAGGGAGGCCAAAUGGUCCUUGCUGGAUCACUUCUACACCCAAUUAGGCAAAAAGGAGGCCAAGCAACUUGCACAAUUGCUGGAUGAAGAUCCUGCAUUGAUGGAAAGAAGGCAGAAAUGUGCCAAAAGACUAGAGUUAUACAAGUCUGCAAGAGAUGAGAUUGAUUUGGUAUCAUGGGCUCGAUGAGUUGUAAUAUAGUUGUUGAUGGAGAUAUUGCUGAAAAGAUAAAUAUCUGCCAGGUUUGCUCAACUUGGAGCCAAUCUUCUUUUUGUUUCCGCUAAACAAUAAUUU
rnacentral:misc_RNA from 1 species